ACAGAAAGAAGGUAGAGGCUAGAACAACUGGUGGAGGACCUGCACUGACGCAUGCAGAGGAGAAGGGCCUCACCCUGAACACUGGAAAGCAGGGGCUAAAGGAAUUCCUGGAGGGAGUUCAUCAGAACCAGUCACUCCCCAGGAUACAAGUGCAUGUGUAAAAUAGUGUGAAAGAACAGCAGGAGGAGGUCAGUCACAUUCUGCUGCACAGAUGCACACAGUUCAGUGAUGUUCAGUAAAUGUCCGGAAAAAUUGAGUUCAAUUCUGUAAGAGUAAUGAUGAACUAUGUCAUGUAACUCUAAAUCUUCUGUAUUUUAAGUUACCGGUUAUUGAGUUGUAUAAACUAAAUCUCAAGGAAAUGUUAUACUUGUACCACAAGAUUGAAAAGACAGAUCUAGAAAUUGAAAUUCCCAAACACAAGCUGGAGAUGAGUGUAUAGUUAAAGGUGAAUUGUAUGAAUUAUUGGAAGAAGAAUCAUAAAAUCUAACAAUUGCCUUUGUAUUUGUAGGAAAUGGAAAAAAAACAAAUAAAUUAUGAUUUACAUCUA